AAUCAACAAGAAGGGAAAGAAAACAACAUCAGUUAGUAGAAAACAGGAAAACCAACAAAAGCCGAGAAUAACAAAUCACAAAAGAACACAACACAGAACGAACAAUUAAGACGCAAAAGAAUUGUUGGAACAAAAAGAAAUUCCAAACCAAAAGGCAACAAAAAAACCCAGUCAACUUGGCUAUGAUACCAUGUGAAAAAGAAUGAUUAAUUUAUUCAAAAUUAAUUCAAGGUACAAGUCUAGGCUCGACUAUAUAUAGUUGUAGCAACAAAACGGAAAGAGAAACUACCCUAUAAAUCCCU
rnacentral:lncRNA from 1 species